rnacentral:lncRNA from 1 species
AUUAUCCUUCAUUCCAUCUCAAUUUCUUUUAAGCUAUAUAAUUUAAUAUAGUGAAUAUAAAUAUUCAAAACACUCUAUAAUAACUUAAGAUUUUGAAGAAUAACGAUUAUUUCACAUAAUUUACAUGAUAUCAAAAUAAAUGAUACUGUGUACGAGUCCUAUCAGGCUCUUAAUAUUAUUAAUAUAUUUUUUUAGAGAAGUACGGUCUCAGAUACUGAGUUGAAUCCUAUCAGACUCCUAUUACUAUUGAUUUUCUCUUUAGAGAACAACAUAUCUGAGUUCUAUCAGGCUCCCAAUAUUAUUGUUGCCUCUUUGGAGAAUAACGGUCCGAGGUACUGAGUUUGACUCCUAUCAUUUUUCUAACAUUAUUAAUUUCCUCUUUAAAGGUCAACGGUAUGAAGUAUUGAGUUCGAGUCUUUUGAUUUUCUCUUUGGAGAACAACAAUUAAUUGUUU